CAGUCGCCGCGGGAACACAGAGGGUGCGAGCGUUAAUCGGAUUUACUGGGCGUAAAGCGUGCGUAGGCGGCUUUUUAAGUCGGAUGUGAAAUCCCUGAGCUUAACUUAGGAAUUGCAUUCGAUACUGGGAAGCUAGAGUAUGGGAGAGGAUGGUAGAAUUCCAGGUGUAGCGGUGAAAUGCGUAGAGAUCUGGAGGAAUACCGAUGGCGAAGGCAGCCAUCUGGCCUAAUACUGACGCUGAGGUACGAAAGCAUGGGGAGCAAACAGGAUUAGAUACCCGUGUAGUCCCUGUCUCUUAUAC
rnacentral:rRNA from 1 species